rnacentral:rRNA from 1 species
UACGGGGGGAGCAAGCGUUGUUCGGAUUUACUGGGCGUAAAGGGCGCGUAGGCGGUCGUGACAAGUCACUUGUGAAAUCUCCGGGCUUAACUCGGAACGGUCAAGUGAUACUGUCGGACUAGAGUACAGAAGGGGCAACUGGAAUUCUCGGUGUAGCGGUGAAAUGCGUAGAUAUCGAGAGGAACACCUGCGGCGAAGGCGGCUCUCUGGAACGCAACUGACGCUGAGGCACGAAAGCGUGGGGAGCAAACAGG